UGAAAAAGUAAUGAUAAAUAAAAUAAAGAAACCAUUAUUAUAGAUAAAGUAAAAUUGUAUUUGAUCGAUUAAAGUUAAUUCAUUGGAUGAUAUUGCGUGCCAACAGCCUAGAAAACAAUAAUUACUAUCAUUAAUAUAUUUAGCCAAUGCCUAUGGAGAAUUUAACCACUUUGAAGACAUCCAAAAUUGCAAAUUACUAAUUGAUA
rnacentral:misc_RNA from 1 species